rnacentral:rRNA from 1 species
GAUGAACGCUGGCGGCGUGCCUAAUACAUGCAAGUCGAGCGAACGGACGAGAAGCUUGCUUCUCUGAUGUUAGCGGCGGACGGGUGAGUAACACGUGGAUAACCUACCUAUAAGACUGGGAUAACUUCGGGAAACCGUAGCUAAUACCGGAUAAUAUUUUGAACCGCAUGGUUCAAAAGUGAAAGACGGUCUUGCUGUCACUUAUAGAUGGAUCCGCGCUGCAUUAGCUAGUUGGUAAGGUAACGGCUUACCAAGGCAACGAUGCAUAGCCGACCUGAGAGGGUGAUCGACCACACGGGAACUGAGACACGGUCCAGACUCCUACGGGAGGCAGCAGUCGGGAAUCUUCCGCAAUGGGCGAAAGCCUGACGGAGCAACGCCGCGUGAGUGAUGAAGGUCUUCGGAUCGUAAAACUCUGUUAUUAGGGAAGAGCAUAUGUGUAAGUAACUGUGCACAUCUUGACGGUACCUAAUCAGAAAGCCACGGCUAACUACGUG